GAUGAACGCUGGCGGCGUGCCUAAUACGUGCAAGUCGAGCGAACGGACGAGAAGCUUGCUUCUCUGAUGUUAGCGGCGGACGGGUGAGUAACACGUGGAUAACCUACCUAUAAGACUGGGAUAACUUCGGGAAACCGGAGCUAAUACCGGAUGAUAUUUUGAACCGCAUGGUUCAAAAGUGAAAGACGGUCUUGCUGUCACUUAUAGAUGGAUCCGCGCUGCAUUAGCUAGUUGGUAAGGUAACGGCUUACCAAGGCAACGAUGCAUAGCCGACCUGAGGGGGUGAUCGGCCACACUGGAACUGAGACACGGUCCAGACUCCUACGGGAGGCAGCAGUAGGGAAUCUUCCGCAAUGGGCGAAAGCCUGACGGAGCAACGCCGCGUGAGUGAUGAAGGUCUUCGGAUCGUAAAACUCUGUUAUUAGGGAAGAACAUAUGUGUAAGUAACUGUGCACAUCUUGACGGUACCUAAUCAGAAAGCCACGGCUAACUACGUG
rnacentral:rRNA from 1 species